rnacentral:rRNA from 1 species
GAUGAACGCUGGCGGCGUGCCUAAUACAUGCAAGUCGAGCGAACAGACGAGGAGCUUGCUCCUCUGACGUUAGCGGCGGACGGGUGAGUAACACGUGGAUAACCUACCUAUAAGACUGGGAUAACUUCGGGAAACCGGAGCUAAUACCGGAUAAUAUAUUGAACCGCAUGGUUCAAUAGUGAAAGACGGUUUUGCUGUCACUUAUAGAUGGAUCCGCGCCGCAUUAGCUAGUUGGUAAGGUAACGGCUUACCAGGCAACGAUGCGUAGCCGACCUGAGAGGGUGAUCGGCCACACUGGAACUGAGACACGGUCCAGACUCCUACGGGAGGCAGCAGUAGGGAAUCUUCCGCAAUGGGCGAAAGCCUGACGGAGCAACGCCGCGUGAGUGAUGAAGGUCUUCGGAUCGUAAAACUCUGUUAUUAGGGAAGAACAAAUGUGUAAGUAACUAUGCACGUCUUGACGGUACCUAAUCAGAAAGCCACGGCUAACUACGUG